rnacentral:rRNA from 1 species
GAUGAACGCUGGCGGCGUGCCUAAUACAUGCAAGUCGAGCGAACGGACGAGAAGCUUGCUUCUCUGAUGUUAGCGGCGGACGGGUGAGUAACACGUGGAUAACCUACCUAUAAGACUGGGAUAACUUCGGGAAACCGGAGCUAAUACCGGAUAAUAUUUUGAACAGCAUGGUUCAAAAGUGAAAGACGGUCUUGCUGUCACUUAUAGAUGGAUCCGCGCUGCAUUAGCUAGUUGGUAAGGUAACGGCUUACCAAGGCAACGAUGCAUAGCCGACCUGAGAGGGUGGUCGGCCACACUGGAACUGAGACACGGUCCAGACUCCUACGGGAGGCAGCAGUAGGGAAUCUUCCGCAAUGGGCGAAAGCCUGACGGAGCAACGCCGCGUGAGUGAUGAAGGUCUUCGGAUCGUAGAACUCUGUUAUUAGGGAAGAACAUAUGUGUAAGUAACUGUGCACAUCUUGACGGUACCUAAUCAGAAAGCCACGGCUAACUACGUG